rnacentral:lncRNA from 1 species
GGGCCGGGGCCGGGUAGAGGGAUGGCUCCCCCCCGGGCGGGAGGAGGCCGUGGGGGGCGGUCGCCGGGGGAAGGUUGAGAGGGGAACCCUGGGCCUUACCUGCCGCCUCCCUCCCUCGGCUCCCGGCUGCCAGCCCCGCCGCCGCCGCUGCUCUGCGCCGCCCUCCGCCGCCCGGCACGGCACGGCACGGCCGCCCGGCACGUCAGCGCCACAGGGGCCGGCCGGGGGCGGGGGCAGCGCCGGCGAGGGGAGGAGGAUGGAGGAGGAGGAUGGAGGAGGAGGAGGCCGGGAAGCCGUGCCUGGGCCCGCCCGGUUCCCUCCGCACCGGCGUUGCCUGACAGGGAGCCCCGGCCCGGGGCAACCGGACCCCGCGGCCUGCGCCCCCCCACCACCCCCCGGCCCGGAGAUGAUGUUCCCGGAGCCGGCUCCGGGCUCUUCUGGGAGAAGGCAGGGUGCGCAUCCUUUCCUGAGUGUUUGGACAACACCAGGGACAUCGUGGAGCCAUAGGAUGAGGGCAUGAACACCGUGUUUGACUACACCUCAUCUUUUUAACAUUCUGACUUUUUCCACUGGCCGCCUGCUUUCCAAACGCUUCCCUCGAGUUACAAAAAACUGAAGACAUUACGUUUUAAGGCAAGAGCUCCUAUUUGACCUCUUCCUGUUUCAUUCCAAUUGGUGAGUAGUUUCUUCUUCUGUGUUAUCAGGCCACCGCUCAGUCCAGGAAUGCUGCUGGUUUUGUGUUUCCAGCCCUGGCAACACGUGGCUGGUUUCUGAAGCCCUGGUUUGUGGCUGGGAGUAAGUCUCUUGCACUGGCCCCGUUUUUCUGUUUCCUCUCCUCAAAGGAUAAUUCAGUUAAGCAAAUUGAUUAUUUUUAAUUGUGGGUAACUCCUCGGAAAUAGGUCAGUAAGUCUCUUGCACUGGCCCCAUUUUUCUGUUUCCUCUCCUCAAAGGAUAAUUCAGUUAAGCAAAUUGAUUAUUUUUAAUUGUGGGUAACUCCUCGGAAAUAGGUCUGCAGAAAGAACAGCAUGAGAGGAGGAGUCCCCAACUUGUCAUCCUCCUGAAGUCCAGUGCUUUUCUGUUUAUUUUUGUGAGUUUCUACAGACCCAGUGGGUGAGGGUGGGGGAAUGAGGGGACAGCACCCCAGAGAAGCCGGAGGAUAUUCCAGGAGCCAUCCCAGCCUUUGGGGACAGAUGGAUUCCCUUCCUGGAGCAAGAUGCCCUGUGUCUCUGGGGAGAGGAUCUGCUUCUGGUUUUGCUGGAGCUUCUCUCUGGAGAUCUCAUGGGCCCACUCUCCUGAACGGGCCCCACUGGUUUGGCUGUUUCAGCUGGAGGACGGGGAGGGGUGGUUCAUAGGAACGAGAGGCCAGUGACAGCCCCACAGGUAACACACAAUCCCAAUUAUCAUCGUUGUUUUCAUUUUUGCUUCCCCCUCCCCUGCUCUGUGAGCACCCAGAUGGGUUUCUUUUUGGGUGAUGAACAGCGAUUGUUGAUAAAAUAAGCUCAGGUUUGUCUGAAAAACAG